ACCAAAUAAUGUAUUACAAUCAAAGGCAUACAGUCUAGCAGGUACAGGGCAGGGUGCAUUCUGUCCUCACUCAAACACUUUCCGUGGGAUCUUGGUAAGUACUGAAAUAUGUCUGGGUCUGUAAAAGAGAGCAGUAAAACCUCUCCUUCCCUGUCAGGAAUAGGGAAAUUGGGCUGGUGAUCUUUUAAUCCCCUAAUUCCAAACCCUAUGACUCUAAUCCAGUAAAAUCUGGAACUGUAAGAAGGAAGAGUGCAUGACUAGGGUGAUUUCUCAAAAUUAUCUCUUGACCUAGCAUCACUGACAUAGUACAGAGUCUGCUGGCGGAGGGGGUGUAGAGAGGGCAGUAGGCUCUCAAGGCAGGGCACCUCAGAAGGUGAUGAGAAAUCUGUGGAAAUGAAAGCCAAAAGAUGACCCCAGACCUCUGACCAGUACUUACCGCGCACCUGAUCACCCUUAUCAGCCGUUACCUACCUACUGCCCUAAUCAGGUCCUAAUGAGUUUCAGCGAGAAAACUGAAAAGUAACUUACGUGCAAUCAACCAUGGUUCGGGGACAAAAGGGAAUAUUAGAAUUUUCCCGUUCACCAAGCACUGUCCAAAGGGGACCCUAGUUUUAGCAGCCAGGAUCCUGAGUCUUGAACAUGGCCUGAAUGAAAUAUUCAUCCAAGCUGCUCAAGCCUGGGUGUUGUCUCUGACUCAGAAAUUAUCAGUCUUUUCAUUAGCUUUCCAAGAACCUUGCUGUGGAGAAGGGGAAGCACCAGGUGAGGAUCAUUGACGCUCUGGGUCCUAGGAAGUUAUGGACCCUUAUAGCAUUCCCACUUAUAAAUGGGUCUUUUGUUGAGUUCAUUCUUUUGAAUUAGUUUUUCGGGAUCGAAAUACUUCUGAGUGCAUUGAGAAAAUCAAAUUUUGAAAGCUACAAAGCAGGACACAAUUUAUAGCGUCUCCACAAGGGAGCAGGCACUCAGUAAGGCAGCCGUGAACUAUAGUCCCUCCCCCGCGGCCCUCCACCUCUUAGCCUUUCCUAGCUCUCUCGGACAUCUUAACUCGGCAGCAGCUACUAUCAGAAGCCCUCUUUUCGAAGAGAGAGGGAUGCCUACUGUUCCCGUUCCUCCGACAAGUAGGACGUGGUUGUGCGGGGCGUACGGGAUUGAUUUUACCCCAAAUCCUCCAUCCCUUGCCGGACUCCCCGGUACCAACUGAGGAUACAGCGCCUCCCUUUGUUAGUGCUGUGGAAUCAGGACCGGAGCCAGGGAGAGGUCCUGGUAGCUGUAAAUACAUGCCGCCCAUCCCCACCCCCUCACAUGUAGAGCUGUGUAAUGAACCCCAACCCCCUGAAGAGGUUCCAUAGACCCCGGAGGUUCCACAGAUCACAGUUUUGAAACUACUGGAUUGGAACUAAAAUGUGACCCCUCUGCAUUACUAAAUGGGUCAGUUGACCCAGAUGAGGAUGUCCAAACCAGGCACUCCACCGUGAUGAUAAUUAUCCAAGCAGAACUUUUCGAUGAUAGCACAGGAGAAAAAGAAAAUUCUUCACGCCCUUGGAAAUAGAGAGUUGCCGUCCAUAGAAAGUGAGGAGUUAACCUUAGUUUCAGUGAAGAUGGCUGUGAGAAGCUGGACAACCUGUCACCACCGGAGCCAGAGCAUUUGUCAGCUCACAGGUCCCAAGUUAUUUUGAGCUGUAUAAACCAUGUGCCUGUGAAACAUUCCACCUGAUUGGAUAGGAGAAAACUGAGCAAAGGGAUUCCACAGCAGGACAGCACCUAUGGGCGGUGGGGGUCAAUCAGUUUUCCUACCUAUAGAGUUUCACUUACAGCUAGAGUCUCAAGUUGUUUCUUGAUUUAUGUUUGGAAUUAAUACUAAAUUCAUCAUUGCACAUUCCAUCUGUCAAAGAAAAUGGCAUUAUUUUUGAAAUAUGUAAAAAUUCUUAAUUUUUAUGAGAAUUUGUUUUUUUAAUAAUUAAUUUUUAUUGGAAUAUAGUUGCUUUACAAUGUUGUAUUAGUUUCUACCAUACAGCAAAGUGAAUCAGCUAUAUAUGUAUACAUAU